rnacentral:rRNA from 1 species
UACGAAGGGUGCAAGCGUUGCUCGGAAUCACUGGGCGUAAAGGGUGCGUAGGUGGCGCCGUAAGUCGGGUGUGAAAUUUCGGAGCUUAACUCCGAAACUGCAUUCGAUACUGCGGUGCUUGAGGACUGGAGAGGAGACUGGAAUUCAUGGUGUAGCAGUGAAAUGCGUAGAGAUCAUGAGGAAGACCAGUGGCGAAGGCGGGUCUCUGGACAGUUCCUGACACUGAGGCACGAAGGCCAGGGGAGCAAACGGG